rnacentral:rRNA from 1 species
GUCGAACGCUGGCGGCGUGCCUAAUACAUGCAAGUAGACCUGAGUUUCGCACGGGUGAGUAACGCGUCGGAACCUUCCUCCUAGCGGGGGAUAACUCUUGGAAACGAUAGCUAAUACCCCCUACUGUGAGAUGGACCUGCGUUGUAUUAGCUAGUUGGUGGGGUAAAGGCCUACCAAGGCGACGAUCCGUAACUGGUCUGAGAGGAUGAUCAGGCACAAUGGAACUGAGACACGGUCCAGACUCCUACGGGAGGCAGCAGUGGGGAAUAUUGGACAAUGGGCGAAAGCCUGAUGCAGCCAUGCCGCGUGUGUGAAGAAGGGCUUCGGAUUGUAAAGCACUUUAAGUGGGGAGGCGUUACCAACAGAAUAAGCACCGGCUAACUCCGUGCCAGCAGCCGCGGUAAUUC